AUUGAACGCUGGCGGCAGGCUUAACACAUGCAAGUCGAGCGGGGGAAGGUAGCUUGCUACCGGACCUAGCGGCGGACGGGUGAGUAAUGCUUAGGAAUCUGCCUAUUAGUGGGGGACAACAUCUCGAAAGGGAUGCUAAUACCGCAUACGUCCUACGGGAGAAAGCCGGGGAUCUUCGGACCUUGCGCUAAUAGAUGAGCAGAAGUCGGAUUGGCUCGUUGGUGGGGUAAAGGCCUACCAAGGCGACGAUCUGUAGCGGGUCUGAGAGGAUGAUCCGCCACACUGGGACUGAGACACGGCCCAGACUCCUACGGGAGGCAGCAGUGGGGAAUAUUGGACAAUGGGGGGAACCCUGAUCCAGCCAUGCCGCGUGUGUGAAGAAGGCCUUAUGGUUGUAAAGCACUUUAAGCGAGGAGGAGGCUACUCUAGUUAAUACCUAGGGAUAGUGGACGUUACUCGCAGAAUAAGCACCGGCUAACUCUGUGCCAGCCGCCGCCGUAA
rnacentral:rRNA from 1 species